GACGAACGCUGGCGGCGUGCUUAACACAUGCAAGUCGAACGGAAAGGCCCUGCUUUUGUGGGGUGCUCGAGUGGCGAACGGGUGAGUAACACGUGAGUAACCUGCCCUUGACUUUGGGAUAACUUCAGGAAACUGGGGCUAAUACCGGAUAGGAGCUCCUGCUGCAUGGUGGGGGUUGGAAAGUUUCGGCGGUUGGGGAUGGACUCGCGGCUUAUCAGCUUGUUGGUGGGGUAGUGGCUUACCAAGGCUUUGACGGGUAGCCGGCCUGAGAGGGUGACCGGGCAAAAUGGGGCGGGGAUUCCGCCCAGACUCCCACGGGGGGGAAGAGUGGGGGAAUUUGCAAAAUGGGCGGAAGCCUGAUGCAGCAACGCCGCGUGCGGGAUGACGGCCUUCGGGUUGUAAACCGCUUUCGCCUGUGACGAAGCGUGAGUGACGGUAAUGGGUAAAGAAGCACCGGCUAACUACGUG
rnacentral:rRNA from 1 species